rnacentral:rRNA from 1 species
UACGGGGGGGGCAAGCGUUGUUCGGAUUUACUGGGCGUAAAGGGCGCGUAGGCGGCCCGCCAAGUCACUUGUGAAAUCUCCGGGCUUAACCCGGAGCGGCCAAGUGAUACUGACGGGCUGGAGUGCGGAAGGGGCCACCGGAAUUCUCGGUGUAGCGGUGAAAUGCGUAGAUAUCGAGAGGAACACCUGAGGUGAAGACGGGUUGCUGGGCUGACACUGACGCUGAGGCGCGAAAGCCAGGGGAGCAAACGGG